rnacentral:piRNA from 1 species
UCCAGCUAUCCUGCUCUGCCCCUGCCC